UAACAUUUUAAUGUCCGGCCGUUUGGCUGCAGUGGCCGACUUAUAAGCGACGCGUGCGUCCAAAAGCGCGUUUUAAUGACGGUUUUGUUAAAGAGGUUUAUCUUCGGGAAUGACUUCACAGGAGGAUAAUAUCCCAGCGGGCCUCUGCGCGCGCUCACACUGCGGAGGUGCAAUCACUGAGGUGCUAGCAGACACACGACAACAGUUAAGAUAAUUCGCACAAAGCAGCAGAGUAAACACACUCCCAUGAUGCAUCAGCUCUUUGUUUUCACCUCGGCUGUGCAGUGAAUGCACCUCAACCUUCAGUAGCAUGUAUGAGUGCAGGAAUCUAUUAACGCACAGCACAUCCCUGCAGGCUGGAUGCCAUUGUGUGCUUGUGAAUAUCUGUGAUUCCCUAAUUGUGAGACCGUGUCCAGAUGUCAUGAAACAUCAGCAUCGCCGUGCGGCUGCAGGGCCCAAAGCAGAUAAAUGAUCCAAGGAGGCUCCGCAUGACGGGAACGACCGCGUCAAGAAGCUACACGCAGCAUCAGAAAUAUACAGUAUGCAGAUGGCGUUUCAGUCAAGACGCAGUCACGAGUUAUUUAGAUUUAUUUAGAAAUGAUCCAUCCAUCCAACACGAGGGCCUCGCUGCUGGGCUGCCGGUGACAUUCCAGUAGGACCCUUCUCAUCCCGGACUUCCUUUCCAAGAGGACGUUCGGAGCAGUUUGCCACCCAUUGGCCCCCCGACUUCACGCGCGUAACAUGCAGUGUUUUGACAGUCGGACAGGGGCCACUCUAAUGAGGUCGGACACGCUGCAGCAAUGCAGGGAGCCAGGCCGGCUGGACGGACUCCCCGAGUGCAGCUCGAAGUAAAUGACCCACUAAACUACAAUUUACGGUUGAGUGGCUGACGAAAACCCUCUGAAGUGUUUGAGUAAAUCAUCACAUGUUGAUCAGGCAGACUGCUUUGAAGCUGUGUGGCUAACAGGCUACAACGGUUCACCGCUCGCCACCAGUAUCUUUCCACCAACGUUAGAUGGAAUAAUUGUUGUGAAAUAGUUGAAGCGCUGAGGAGGCUCAUAGUUGUGGUUCGGCCUGCGCAGCCGCGCCCUUGUUAGCCCGCGGUGGGACUGUCUCCCCGCAGACCAUCAAGCGACCCAGGGAAGCGGAAGCAGGAACAUCGAGUACCAAAACAACCUCGUCUCACCGACAGUUGGAGAG
ensembl:lncRNA